GUCGAAAUGAUUCAAGAGUACAAUCCGAGUAUCGAGUAUACUCCAGGCAAGGCUAAUGUGAUUGCUGACGCUUUGAGCAGAAAAGCAUAUUGCAACAGUCUGAUUCUCAAGCCUUAUCAACCCGAGCUUUGUGAAGCUUUCCGCAAGCUUAAUCUGCAAGUUGUUCCUCAAGGUUUCCUCGCCAACCUUCAAGUCUCUCCUACCUUAGAAGACCAGAUUCGCCAAGCCCAACUUCUUGAUGCUAUGGUGAAGAAGGUGAAGAUUGGUAUUGCAAAGAGUCAGUCCAAGUACAAGUGCUACCGACUUGAUGACAAGGACACUCUCUUCUUCGAGGAUCGAAUUGUUGUGCCCAAAGGUGAACUUCGUAAGGUGAUCAUGAACGAGGCUCACAACUCUCUCCUCUCCAUCCACCCUGGUAGUACGAAGAUGUAUCAGGAUCUCAAGCAAGCUUAUUGGUGGACUCGAAUGAAGCGCGAGAUCGCUCAAUUCGUGAAUGAAUGUGAUGUCUGCAGAAGAGUGAAGGCAGAACACCAAAGGCCAGCUGGUCUCCUCCAACCUCUUGCCAUUCCAGAAUGGAAGUUUGACCACAUUGAAAUGGACUUCGUGACUGGGUUUCCAAAGUCCAAGCGUGGCAAUGAUGCUAUAUUUGUCGUCAUCGACAAGCUCACCAAAGUGGCACAUUUUCUGCCUAUCAAAGAGUCGAUCACUGCAGCUCAAUUGGCGGAACUCUAUACCUCUCGCAUUGUCUCUCUGCACGGUAUUCCUCAAGUGAUAUCUUCAGACCGUGGCAGCAUCUUUACCUCCAAGUUUUGGGAUUCUUUUCAGAAGGCCAUGGGCACCAACAUCCGCUUCAGCACAGCUUUCCAUCCUCAAACGAGCGGUCAAGUCGAGCGUGUCAAUCAGAUUCUUGAAGAUAUGCUCAGGGCUUGUGUG
rnacentral:rRNA from 1 species